rnacentral:piRNA from 1 species
UGGUAGACAGAGACAUCAUGGUCU